AGACAGCCUCAGAGCUGGUGGGGAGACAGCAUGCCACUGGAAAAAUUCGUAGACAUGGAAUUCCUGGAUCAAAUGGUCACCGAUUGUUUCAGCAUCACUUAUUGAAUAAUCCAACGCAACAACUGUUCUUCCAUUAGAUAGGGUGUAGCUUUCCACAGAUACUAAGGGGGACUUGCCUGGAAGCAGACUUGUGUCCGCAGUAUACAAACUCACCCUUUAAUGCACACACUGACCAGAUAACACAAACACAUUUACCCCCACAGCACCUAGACUCUUCUCACAGUACACACACUUGCCUUCCAGUACACAGACAUAUCCAAAGGCACACCGACAAGCACCACAGCAAAAAGAUGUUCCCCAGAACACAUGGACACCCCAAUCCCCGUAUCAUUAGACUCUCCCAGAGGCACGUAUGUACUGCUUAAUGCAGAGACUCACCUGAGGCACACUGAUGCACCCCGCAUGACACAGACUUGCCCCCCCAUAAGGACUCUACUAUGACACACAGACAAUCCCAACAUCACACACUGUUCCCACAUCACACGAACCCAUUUUAGGAAACACACAGCAUACAGACUUACCCCAUAGAACACGGCUUCCCCGACAAGCACACAUACUCUCAAGGCCAGUAGACUCACCCCACAGCACACAGACUUUCUCUAGAGUGUACAGCUUCUUCCCACAGCAAACAGACUCUCCCCAGGGCACACAGACACCCCUGACAUCACAUACUCUCACCACAGACCAUAGACUCGUCCUAGAGCACAGGGACUCUUGCCAAUGAAACAGACUUUCCCGAGAAUAGACUCAUGAGACAGCUUGAAGACCCGCAUCAUGACACAAAGACUCUCCCACAACAG
rnacentral:lncRNA from 1 species